rnacentral:rRNA from 1 species
UACGUAGGGUGCAAGCGUUAAUCGGAAUUACUGGGCGUAAAGCGUGCGCAGGCGGUGUUGUAAGACAGAUGUGAAAUCCCCGGGCUCAACCUGGGAACUGCAUUUGGGACUGCAUCGCUGGAGUGCGGCAGAGGGGGAUGGAAUUCCGCGUGUAGCAGUGAAAUGCGUAGAUAUGCGGAGGAACACCGAUGGCGAAGGCAAUCCCCUGGGCCUGCACUGACGCUCAUGCACGAAAGCGUGGGGAGCAAACAGG